GACAGUAGGGUGGACAACUUCUUCUGUUUAUACUACACUGGGUACGUGCUUAGGCACGCAUGUUCACCCAUGUGCAGUGUGUGUAUGGUCAUAAAUUAUGCACAGUAAAGGGCAAAUGGCGAAACUCAUGCCUCACUAAACCUAGUCAGUAUCAACGGAAGAACAUUUCCAGGAUGUCCCUCACCUUCUGCUUUCUUUGUGUUGGCAUUCU